UACGUAGGUGGCAAGCGUUAUCCGGAAUUAUUGGGCGUAAAGAGCGCGCAGGUGGUUGAUUAAGUCUGAUGUGAAAGCCCACGGCUUAACCGUGGAGGGUCAUUGGAAACUGGUCGACUUGAGUGCAGAAGAGGGAAGUGGAAUUCCAUGUGUAGCGGUGAAAUGCGUAGAUAUUAGGAGGAACACCAGUUGCGAAGGCGGCUCUCUGGACUGUAACUGACACUGAGGCACGAAAGCGUGGGGAGCAAACAGGAUUAGA
rnacentral:rRNA from 1 species